CUUUGGAAGCUGCUGCACAGGGGUUAACAACAAGCAACAACUCAGGUCGCAUUCUUGUCAACGGAAGGGAGGGCCAGGUGGAACCGCCAAGGGGGCCAUUUCUGGCUUUGCUGGAGGCUGUCAGCUUCUGGUGGGAGCCACAGCCUGAGGGCAGCCAGGAUGGCUCUGCUGGGAGGGACACCCUGCCCAACCCUGGGAGCAGGUGACGAAGGCUCCUGGAGGCAUGGUCACAUCCCUGGGUCCCAGAGGCAGGAACAAAGCCCCCAGGGCAGUGUUCAUCAAGAAAGGGCCUCCGGGUUUGUGUUUACUGGACAUGAAUUGAGCUGCUCUCCAGAGAUAAGAAAAAAAUAUUACAGCCCUGCUAUGUGGGCACCCCACGGCAGCCCCCGGGGUUAAGGGGCAGCUUUCUUUCCAAGGAAUCCCAUUGCCAAAGAUGAACCUUCAGAUGGGGAAACUGAGGACCCAGAGGAAGCAAGAGCAGCCCCAGGCCACACAACCCUCUUUUUAUUAUUCAUUCACUGACUACACUGCAGAGGUUGGACCCAUAUCUCAUUAUUUGAAUAGUAAAUUGUUUUUUCUUCCUGA